ACCCGCCAGCCCCGCGCUCUACCAGGCAGAGCGCGUGUGGCCGCCGAGCACAUGGACCCACUGGUCAAGCGGGCUCGGCAAGGCCAGGAUGAAGAGAAGCUACGAACUUAGCAUUCCCAGAGCCCCCCGAGUGGAUAUCCGCGUGGAAAGGAUGUUGGCAGCCCCGGUGACCUCGGAGUCACGGCUGGAUCCACCCUCUUGUCUGAUUUUCUUAACUCUACUACGGUAAGAAGAUGCCCUCCAUCAGCAGGCCGUGUCUGCUGGGACCUCUCUGGAGACUUCCUGAACCCUGUGGAUUUACAGUAAGAUGCAGUUUCCUGGGGAGUAAUUCUGGUGGAUACAAAUUCCGGAGUAUUACACCUGGCUUGCCUGGAGAUGUUACAAGUAGCUGGAUGGAUUCUUCAGCCUGGAUGCCCACUGAAAACAAGGACCGAAACUAAGAGGAUUGUAUCUCUACCCUUGACUCAAUGAGAAUGUUUGUUGUCAUCUCUCGGGCUACCUGGAGCUCCCUCUAAAAUAGAGCCGAGUUCUGUCACCACAGACAUUGGCAGUGGCACUUGCAUGCCCCUGGCAAGCAGUCUAUCCUGAGGUGGAGGAAGUUGCCCUUGAGUUCUGGCUGGUAACCAGCACAGAUGUGAAGCGUUGACUUAAGAGAUGCCAAGUAACUCAGCAGAUGUCACACAGACGAUAAAUAGCAAAGAUGGAAGUCUUCAUGCCGGAGGCAAUCCUAUAAGACAGCUGAGUUCUGCAGAGCUGGUAGGAGACAGACUUGCUCAGGUGAUAGAUCCAGCCAUGAUACUGACCCUAAGAGAAUGAGACGCUCUGCAGAAGACAGAAGAUUCCUGAAACUGGGAAAGGUGCCUAGAAAUCCUGAUAAGAGUGAAGAAGGAGCUGGCAGAGCAGCCUUCCUCCGCACUAUGAAAGACAUCCAACAGAGAGCAAGUUCCCACCUCACUUCCAGCUUGACUCCUUUUUAUCUCCUAACUGUGGUCUGUGAUGUCUUCAGCAAUGGUAUUAACUAGUUCUGGGUACCUGGAGGCACAGCAGCCAUGUUGAACCUAUGAGGUGAUGAAAAACCAUGCAACUAGAAACCAGAAUGGAAGAAAAGAAGAAGCUGGAUCCUUGACUGAAUUGUCGAUGGGGGAUAGUCCAUCAUCCCAGGGCUAAGACCACCUCCAGAUUUCUUGUUUGGUGAAACAAGUCCUGAUUGUUUACAUUCCCUCGUGUUGAGCUGUCUCUUGCUUGUAGCUGAAAGCAUUUCUAAUAGAUAUUCAGAUUAUCAGCCUUAGCUCCAAGCUAGAAUACUCUAUGGGACCUUAGCUUCUCCAUGAAUUCCUUUGCUCAUCUGUGUAAUGCUCAAUAAAUGUAAAUUGAACCCUGAAUGAGGGACAAUGACA
rnacentral:lncRNA from 1 species